AACUUGCAACAACACAUUGAAUAUAUUUCAGGGAAGUAAUUUCAUAUUCCCCAAUACACAUCUCACUUAAAUAACAAAUGCCAGAUAAGAGAAACAACAGUUUCAUAUAUUUCAGAGAAGUAAUUUCAUAUAUUUUCGCAGAAAUUAGUUUCACAACUUGCAACACCACAUUGAAAUAUAUUCCAGGGAAGUAAUUUCUCAAUACAUAUAUCACUGAAAUAAGAAAUGACAGAUAAGAGAAAUAGUUGUUUCAUAUAUUUCAGGGAUCUAAUUCCAUAUAUUUUCACAGAAAUUAGUUUUGCAACUUGCAACAACACAUUGAAAUCCCAGUUUCACAUUUUUUUCACAUCACAACUACACAUAGCUAUUUCAAUUCAUAUCUCACUGAAAAUCAUUCCAAUCUCACUGAAAAUCAUUCCAAAUCUCACUGAAAAUCAUUCAAAUCUCACUUCGACAUACUGAAGUAAUCCAGUUUGACCAGAUUGAAAUAUAAAUUUCACAUUGUGCCACAAACCAUUUCACAUUACUUUGUUUCACAACUAGCAACACCGCAUUCAAAUAUAUUACAGGGAAGUAAUUUCAUAGAUUUUGGUCUCUUUCAAAAAACUACAACACAUGCUCUCUGUCACAAACAUUCAAAAAUCCUGAAAUUGAAGUAACAGAGGAGGCCGGCGAUCUGGUGGUAAAGAAACAUAGAGUGUUCAAAUCAUGCUAAAUAAAUCGGAAAUCGUGAAAUACAUAUGGAAAGAGCUUAGGGGAGAUGGUCAUUACUCACCAGAUCCGGUGGUAGUCAGGCUUGGUGUCGCCAGAUCCGGCGACAACCUUGCGUGAUGACCCGUCAUGGUGCCCGUGCUGAACGGAGACACCAACGGCGCCCACGGCUGCCGGGGCAGCCAGGAUGCCGGUGGACGGGCUUCUGGUUGGCGGGAUCGAGGAACCUCGCCGGAUCAGCCACCCCCCGACGGCCAGUGGAUCCGCCCCCCGCUCCUCGUCGGCCUCAUGGUACCGCCGCGCCGCCGCGGGCCUUCUAUGUGCCCCCCGUGGUAGGUGCCGGUAGUGGAACCCGAAUCCGGUGUCGGAUGUUGCUGGAGAAGGCGGAUCUCGCGGCGGCCAUAGCCGGGAUUAACCACCGAGCCCCAUGGAACGAACUGACGAGAGAUGGGGUGGGGAGAAAGGAGAUCGAUGUGGGAAGGAGACAGCGGCGUGGGGUUGAUAUCCUCUCUUUCGUGGGGUCCAUCACGUAUGUGCAGUUGUAUACAGCUUGUAUCCUGGAAUCUGAGGUGGAAAUAAAAAAAACUAGUAGGGUCCACCUGC
rnacentral:lncRNA from 1 species